UAAAUUAAAAGUUUAAAAGAAGAAAAAUCUUUCAAUUUAUACCUUCUAACUCUUUGAAAUUUUUUGGAGUCCGGUCACGGGAUCUAAAUAUUAAGUAUGAAUCAUAGUUCUAAUACUUCGUAAUCUAUUUCAUAUAUUCCGUGCUCCAGAUACUAGAAUAAAAGAUACUAGAAUAAAUACCUGACGAGGUCAAAAAUCAUCUCUAUCAAGAUGACAGACCCACUCUCUGUACUAUCAAUAGGAUAAAUUAUAACAAGUCGCACACUCAUAUUCCAGAAAUACAGAAAAAAAAAAAGAAAUUGCACGAUCGAACUACCAAAAUAGAAUAAAAAAUCCGAGACCAAAACGAAGCGUUUUGUAUUGAAAAGCUAGGACUUAGUGGUUCUUGUAAAUCUAGUUCAUUGAAAUUCCAUCUAGUAAAACGGAAGAAUUAUAAAUCUCCAAAAUAAUAGAUAGGAAUAUCGCAAAUAGAGCCAUUGCGACACCCAUCAAAGGAGUAGUUCCCCAUCCAGGAGCUACUUUACCAUAUUCCGAAUUCAAUGGUUUCAAUAAAUCCCCUACAAUAGUUCGUCUUGGACCAGAUCUAGAACUACCCUCCACGCUUUGUGUAGCCAUAAAUCCUAUUUGUAUUAAUUGAGAUCUGUUGACUUUGUAUACCAUUCCGUUGUAAAUAAAUGAUCUUAUUAUAGAUCCAUUGGGGUCUUGAAAUUAUAUAAUAUAUAAUAAUGGAAACAGCAACCCUAGUCGCCAUCUCUAUAUCUGGUUUACUUGUAAGUUUUACUGGGUAUGCCUUAUAUACUGCUUUUGGGCAACCCUCUCAACAACUAAGAGAUCCAUUCGAGGAACACGGGGACUAGUUGAAGUAAAGAGCCUCCCAAUAUUGGGA
rnacentral:misc_RNA from 1 species